rnacentral:rRNA from 1 species
GUGGGGAAUUUUGGACAAUGGGCGCAAGCCUGAUCCAGCAAUGCCGCGUGCAGGAAGAAGGCCUUCGGGUUGUAAACUGCUUUUGUACGGAACGAAAAGGCUCUGGCUAAUACCUGGAGCUCAUGACGGUACCGUAAGAAUAAGCACCGGCUAACUACGUGCCAGCAGCCGCGGUAAUACGUAGGGUGCGAGCGUUAAUCGGAAUUACUGGGCGUAAAGCGUGCGCAGGCGGUGCUGUAAGACAGGCGUGAAAUCCCCGGGCUCAACCUGGGAAUUGCGCUUGUGACUGCAGCGCUGGAGUGCGGCAGAGGGGGAUGGAAUUCCGCGUGUAGCAGUGAAAUGCGUAGAUAUGCGGAGGAACACCGAUGGCGAAGGCAAUCCCCUGGGCCUGCACUGACGCUCAUGCACGAAAGCGUGGGGAGCAAACAGGAUUAGAAACCCUUGUAGUCC